GACGGACGCUGGCGGCGUGCCUAAUACAUGCAAGUAGAACGCUGAAGGAGGAGCUUGCUUCUCUGGAUGAGUUGCGAACGGGUGAGUAACGCGUAGGUAACCUGCCUGGUAGCGGGGGAUAACUAUUGGAAACGAUAGCUAAUACCGCAUAAUAGUAGAUGUUGCAUGACAUUUACUUAAAAGGUGCAAUUGCAUCACUACCAGAUGGACCUGCGUUGUAUUAGCUAGUUGGUGGGGUAACGGCUCACCAAGGCGACGAUACAUAGCCGACCUGAGAGGGUGAUCGGCCACACUGGGACUGAGACACGGCCCAGACUCCUACGGGAGGCAGCAGUAGGGAAUCUUCGGCAAUGGACGAAAGUCUGACCGAGCAACGCCGCGUGAGUGAAGAAGGUUUUCGGAUCGUAAAGCUCUGUUGUAAGAGAAGAACGAGUGUGAGAGUGGAAAGUUCACACUGUGACGGUAUCUUACCAGAAAGGGACGGCUAACUACGUG
rnacentral:rRNA from 1 species